UACGGAGGGGGCAAGCGUUGUUCGGAAUCAUUGGGCGUAAAGGGCGCGUAGGCGGCCGUCCAAGUCGGGUGUGAAAUCCCUCGGCUCAACCGAGGAACUGCACUCGAUACUGGUUGGCUAGAGUCCGGGAGGGGAUGGUGGAAUUCCCAGUGUAGCGGUGAAAUGCGUAGAUAUUGGGAAGAACACCGGUGGCGAAGGCGGCCAUCUGGACCGGAACUGACGCUGAGGCGCGAAAGCCAGGGGAGCAAACAGG
rnacentral:rRNA from 1 species